GUGCCAGCAGCCGCGGUAAUACGGAGGAUGCAAGCGUUAUCCGGAUUUAUUGGGUUUAAAGGGUGCGUAGGCGGAUGAUUAAGCGUGAGGUGAAAUGCUGCGGCUCAACCGUAGAACUGCCUCGCGAACUGGUUGUCUGGAAUGCCCCUGCCGUGGGAGGAAUGUGUGGUGUAGCGGUGAAAUGCAUAGAGAUCACACAGAACACCGAUUGCGAAGGCAUCUCACGAAGGGGUGAUUGACGCUGAGGCACGAAAGCGUGGGGAUCAAACAGGAUUAGAUACCCUGGUAGUCCACGCAGUAAACGAUGAUGACUAACCGCUGGGUAUUCGUAUUCAGUGGCCAAGCGAAAGCGAUAAGUCAUCCACCUGGGGAGUACGACCGCAAGGUUGAAACUCAAAGGAAUUGACGGGGGCCCGCACAAGCGGAGGAACAUGUGGUUUAAUUCGAUGAUACGCGAGGAACCUUACCCGGGCUCGAACGGCAGAUGAACAAUCCAGAGAUGGUGCGGUCCUUCGGGACAUCUGUCGAGGUGCCGCAUGGUUGUCGUCAGCUCGUGCCGUGAGGUGUCGGCUCAAGUGCCAUAACGAGCGCAACCCUUGUCGUCAGUUACCAGCACGUAAAGGUGGGGACUCUGGCGAGACUGCCACCGCAAGGUGUGAGGAAGGGGGGGAUGACGUCAAAUCAGCACGGCCCUUACGUCCGGGGCGACACACGUGUUACAAUGGUGGUUACAGAGGGGACCUAGCUGGUGACAGUAUGGGAAUCUCGAAAAGCCAUCUCAGUCCGGAUCGGAGUCUGCAACCCGACUCCGUGAAGCUGGAUUCGCUAGUAAUCGCGCAUCAGCCAUGGCGCGGUGAAUACGUUCCCGGGCCUUGUACACACCGCCCGU
rnacentral:rRNA from 1 species